CAAGAAAUAGCAUAUAGUG
rnacentral:tRNA from 1 species